GGCUUGCACGGGUAUUGAGUGGAGUGUGAUCACAGUGUGGUGGAGGAGCGCAGACUGCAGCCGGACUCCCUCUCCUCUCCUCUCCUCUGCUCUGCUCUUACUCGACUCCAGAUCUACUUAGAAUCACAGGGCACAGCCAUGGAGGAAAUGGACUUUGAGCGGCGCCGGGAGCUGAGGAGACAGAAGCGUGAGGAGAUGCGCCUGGAAGCUGAACGGUUGGCGAGGAAUGACGACGAUGAGGAAGAGGCGGCCCGUGAGAGGAGGCGUAGGGCGCGUCAGGAAAGGAUGAGGAGCAGGGAGAGCGAGGAGCCCAGCGGUCAGCCGGACAGUCUGGUCCUGACCAACAACCACAGUGUGACAGAGACAGUGUCUGUGAGCAGCUCUUACGGAGGAGGUGGUGGAGACGACGAGGACCAGGCUCUGCUGGAGCGCAUGGCCAAACGCGAGGAGCGACGGCAAAGACGCAUGAAAGAGGCAAUGGAAAGACAGAGGGAGCUGGACCCCACUGUGACAGAGGCCAACGACAACAUCACUGUGGAGAAAAACAACAUGGAGGAGGAGAGGCCAUCCUCCUGGCGUAGGGGUCGUUAUCGUGACAAUGAAGAAGAGGAGGAGAAGACAGUGAUGUACAGCUCAAGGAGAGGAGAGAAGGAGCCAGAGGAGCCAAGAGAGGAGGAGGAGGAAGAGGCUGCUCCUGAGGAAACACAAGAAGUAGAUGAAGACGAGGAGCAGAAAGAGGAAGUUGUGGAAGAAAAGCCUAGACGGUCUUACUUAAGAGAGCAGGAGUCCACUGAAGCGCCUAGAAUGCAAAACAAGGUGAAUGAGAGGGAGGAGCAGAGGAAGCAGAACGGAGCGCUGCAUGAGGAGGCGGCUCCCAAACAGCACAGGAAACCUGAGCGGACCCUCAGUCGCGGCAGCGUACGUUCCCCUGAGGUGUCCGCGGCCGACGAGCAGGACGACGCUGCCCGCUUAGAGGCAGAACGCAAGCUGGAGGAGCUCAAACGCCGCCGCGACGACGCCGAGAGCGAAGAAUUUGAAAGAAUGAGACAAAAACAACAGGAGGCUGAAGUCGAGCUGGAGGAGCUGAAGAGGAAGAGAGAGGAGAGGAGGAAGGUGCUGGAGGAGGAGGAGAGGCAGAAGAAGCAGGAGGAAGCAGAGAGGAAAGCCAGAGAGGAGGAGGAGAAGAGGAAGAUGAAGGAGGAGAUUGAAAAGAGGAGAGCAGAGGCAGCUGAGAAGAGGCAGAAGGUGGAGGACAGUAUGGACGGGGAGGACAAACCCUUCAAGUGUGUCAGUCCUCGAGGCUCCUCUCUGAAGAUUGGUGAGAGGGCAGAGUUCCUGAACAAGUCUGCACAAAAAAGCACAGUGAAGGCGUCUCACUCUCCUGUGGUGUCCAAGAUAGACAACAGGCUGGAGCAGUACACCUCAGCUGCUCAGAGGGAGAACAAGGAGUCUCGAUCCCCUCGCUCCGGAGCGGUGGAUCUGCCCAUGGUCACCGACAGCAUACGAAACAUCAAGAGCAUGUGGGAGAAAGGCAACGUGUUCAGCUCGCCUGGAGGCAGCGGGAGCACAUUCAAGGAAGCAGCUGUGAUGAAGACAGGCGUGGCAGGCCGCAUCAACGACUGGCUGAAUAAAACCCCGGAGAGCAGCAAAACGUCAGGAGGAAGGCCAACGGACCUGAAGCCUGUUGACGUCACCAAUAAGAGGAGUCUAUGGGAAAAUAAAGGCGCCUCUCCAACCAAGAACUCUCAUAGCUAGUUGACCUCAGCGUUAAAUCUGGAAUAAGCCUGGAGAGGUAACACAGGUGGUGUUGUGGCAGGCAGGGGGGAGACGAAAUCAGUCGCCAACGGUAUGGGACACUAAUGCCUUAAAGGAGCCACUGGGGACCAUGACAAUCCAAGACUAUUCCUCUGACUUUGUCUUAAGAACCAAAUAAUGACCACACUCCCAAGAAGGACCCCCAAAAAACGGAGGGACAGGAGAAACGCUGUCCAAGCACUGUACCGACACAGCAUGAUAUUUUUGUAUGAUUACGACAUAAGGUGCACUUGCACAAUGAUUUAUGCUUUCUAAAAGAAAAAAAAAUGAAUGCUGUGAAAUUUGGACAUUUGUAGUUACUAUUACUAAUUACUUAAUACAAUCCUGCCAGGAACACAAACGGAUUAAAAUUAGGUUUAUCUGUUGUACUCCAUGCCGACAUAGUAGGUGAAUUUACAAUUUUAGAUGUCUACAUUCUAAAGAGAUGGCUGAAAUCAGUUCUUUCCCUCACACAGUUCAUUUUCCAUCUCUGUUUUAUUUAUAUUUAAAGCAACAGCUUCACACAUUGCUAUUUUAUUCAAUGUUCACCAGUUCAGGAUAGAAAUAUAAGCACUUCUAGAAUUUAGCUGAUUUCACUUUUAUUAUGUCUUACCAAUAGUGCAGCAAUGGUCUGAGUAAUAUAUGUUAGCACAUGUGAUGUUUUGAAUAUCAUAAUGUAUCCUAUAUAACAUUUUUAUACUCAUAACAAAAGGUAUUUUGCUUUUUUGUAUCCAGAAACUAUUCACCAACAGGCAGUUCAUUUUGGAGGUGAUUGGAGUGUUGAAUAUUCGAAGGCCAAUAUGACUUUUAUUAUCCUCUAUGUCAUUUUUAUUUAAGUUUUUAUUGUGUGUUGUCUUUUUCUGUUUCUAGCUGUUUUGUACCUUUUUUUUUUUUUUACCUGUUUGAUCACUUUAAAAUCUUCAGACAUUCCUCUUCAAAGCAGGUGCACGAGGUGCCUUUUGCUGCUUAAAAUCUGUAGGUUUUAUAAUGUAAGACAUCGGCAAACCAACCUUUUUUCAGAUCUGCUUUUAACUUCUUUAUUGCUUCUAUGCACACUUUUAUGCUCAACAGUGUUUUUUUAAUGGAGAGCAUAUUAAGUAAAAUCAGGGUGCUUUAGCAUUUAGUGAGAUAGUAUUGCAGUACAAGGAUAUUUACCACUAUGUACGUCUUCUGGCCUUAUGAUUGCAAUGAAAAUGCUUACGACAGUUGAGGUAUAGUACAUGAUGCCCUCAAAGCAACUCAGUAUAAAUAAUAAAACUUCUGAUUUCCAUGUUUAUUUCUCACAUUACAUGGACUUAAGUAGUACAUUCCCUUGCUUACUUUUUGUGCAGUGCAAGCUUUGAGAAAUGUAUGAACUGUUUGCCGGGGCAUUAAAUUGAUCUUUGUUACUGCUCAGAAGUCUGACAAUCACAUUCCAUGGCUCCUAAAAAGAGCAGGGGAGCUUGACCAAACUAUCUUUAUCUGUGAUUUAAUGUGACAUCUUUUUUUUUUUUUUUUUACGUUUCAUAAUGCCGUAUUGUUUUUUACAACCUGUGUCCAUUUUAUGUUGUUUUUUUUUUCUUUUAUUUGUAUGUUUAACCAGACACUUGCUCUUUGUGUAGUGCUAUGCCUAUGCAAAACACACUAUCUGUAGUCUCUCUUAACACUCCCAAUGUCAUAUAGGUGGGCAGUUUCCAACUGGACAAAUGUUUUGAACAUUGUACCCUUGACUCAACAACCGCAAUAAAGACAUUGAGGUAUUCCA